rnacentral:rRNA from 1 species
GAGUUUGAUCCUGGCUCAGGAUGAACGCUAGCGGCAGGCCUAACACAUGCAAGUCGAGGGGCAGCGGGAGUGCUUGCACUCGCCGGCGACCGGCGCACGGGUGCGGAACGCGUAUGGAAUCUACCUCUUUCUGGGGAAUAGCCCAUGGAAACGUGGAUUAAUACCCCAUAGUAUUCAGAAAUCGCAUGAUUUUUGAAUUAAAGCUUUGGCGGAAAGAGAUGACCAUGCGUAUCAUUAGCUAGUAGGUGAGGUAACGGCUCACCUAGGCUACGAUGAUUAGGGGUCCUGAGAGGGAGAUCCCCCACACUGGUACUGAGACACGGACCAGACUCCUACGGGAGGCAGCAGUGAGGAAUAUUGGACAAUGGUCGAAAGACUGAUCCAGCCAUGCCGCGUGCAGGAUGAAUGCCCUAUGGGUUGUAAACUGCUUUUAUACGGGAAGAACACCACCCACGCGUGGGUGACUGACGGUACCGUAAGAAUAAGGACCGGCUAACUCCGUGCCAGCAGCCGCGGUAAUACGGAGGGUCCAAGCGUUAUCCGGAAUCAUUGGGUUUAAAGGGUCCGUAGGCGGGCUAUUAAGUCAGGGGUGAAAGUUUGCAGCUCAACUGUAAAAUUGCCUUUGAUACUGGUAGUCUUGAGUUAUAGUGAAGUGGUUAGAAUAUGUGGUGUAGCGGUGAAAUGCAUAGAUAUCACAUAGAAUACCAAUUGCGAAAGGCAGAUCACUAACUAUAUACUGACGCUGAUGGACGAAAGCGUGGGGAGCGAACGGGAUUAGAUACCCCGGUAGUCCACGCCGUAAACGAUGGAUACUAGCUGUUGGAUUUUUCAGUGGCUAAGCGAAAGUGAUAAGUAUCCCACCUGGGGGAGUACGUUCGCAAGAAUGAAACUCAGAGGAAUUGACGGGGGCUCGUACAAGCGUGAGCAUGUGGUUUAUUCGAUGAUACGCGAGACUACAGGGCUGAAUGGGAAAUGACAGGCAGAGACGCCCCUUCUUCCGACAUUUCAGGUGCUGCAUGUGUCGUCAGCUCGUGCCGGGAGGUCAGUAAGUCUAUAACGAGGCCACUCCCUUACGUAAGUUGCAAGCGAUCAUGGUUCGACUCUACGGACUGCGGUCAACUAGGACGUGCGUAACUGCUUCAAUACUACUGGGCCCUUAUAGAUCG